rnacentral:rRNA from 1 species
UACGUAGGGGGCAAGCGUUGUCCGGAAUUAUUGGGCGUAAAGGGCGCGUAGGCGGAUAAUUAAGUCCGGUGUGAAAGAUCAGGGCUCAACCCUGAGAGUGCAUCGGAAACUGGCUAUCUUGAGGACAGGAGAGGAAAGUGGAAUUCCACGUGUAGCGGUGAAAUGCGUAGAUAUGUGGAGGAACACCAGUGGCGAAGGCGACUUUCUGGACUGUAACUGACGCUGAGGCGCGAAAGCGUGGGUAGCAAAC